AGGGAGUACAUGACAUAAGAUAAUGAUACUUACUACAGUACUUUGCAGACAAAAUUAAAACUGUAUCCAUAAUAAUACAAGCAUGAGAAUAAGGAUCUCAAACAGCAAUCUCAUGGGACAAGUUGCAGUCAAACACAACAAUUUCUCACUCCCACAGUAGCAAAUAAACAAGGGAUUGACUUGAGCCAGAGAAACACCUUGUUAACAGAAAAUAGGCAAAGUAAAACGAUAGUCAAACUUCAUGAUCCCUGAUACUUGGCCUGGUAGUUCCAUAUUGCCCCUCCCUGCCAAACAAACCAAUUUAAAACUUAGAUGAACUGCAUGUAUUGUUGAUUAUCUUAAUAAAUAAGAUAUGAUAGGUGGAAAAUGAACAGUUUGGGAGCAGCAAGCAGUAAAGUCACCUAACUAAUAGGACAUGGCUUCAGAAGUUGGCUUGGCUGGGAAGUCCAAGCAAGCUUGCCCUGAGCAUUGCCGGAGAGAGCAAGAGGACAGCCAAUGCUGGCGUCCGUCAGAGAGAGAGGUGUGCAGUUGAAAGUUGCUCUUGGAUGGAAAGCAGAACUCCGGGUCCGGUAUAUGUACUCACCCAGUGCAAAGUAGAAUCUGCGAGAACAAGGAAAAUAGUAGUUAUAUGGAUAAGGUGGCAACAGUAAUACUCUGGAGGAGAAAUGGCAAUACAAUUAUAUGUAUGUUAAAUACGCACAUAUGUAAUUGUCAUCAUUUUACUAUAACCUAACAUGUAAUUGUGAGAUCAGAUCCUGCACUACCAUUAGCUGGUCUCACUUUGAUGAUUUUACUAAAUUCAUAGAAAAUUAGGAAUUAUGCGGUGGUACUCUUAUUGUCUUAAGAGAGACUAUGUUCGAUGCAGGACAAAAACCAGUCGCAUAUCUUCUAGAACAAAAAAAGUCAUGGGCCCAAAGACUUGUGUGCUCAUAGCUAGCAGACUGGGAGUACAUCUGAAACAAACAACUACACUGAUGUAGAGAUAAAUGGCAGUCAUUCACAGGAAAAAUACUGAAACCUUAGGAUAAAAAGCAACUUCGCACAAAAUCUGAAAGAGGCCACUGGAAGCUAUAACUGAAGGAAGGUCCUUACUGAGGAACAAAUAACCAAAUAUGCCAUGGCAUUGUAUGUUUUAGGUUCAAAAUACCUAAUUUUGAUAGAAAUAACUAAAACAGAUGUAUCUAGCAGUUUGGUAAGACUAAAAUGUGGAUGUUAUUUUGACAUAAAUAAGAAAAAGGCGUUCACGUAAGCUUCUAAAUGGGAUUUUAUUUCAUUCUCCACCUUCAGUUGAGCAAUGACUUGGCAUAGCUACAUAUGUAGUAGUCAGGCCAAAUGCAACUUAUUUUAAACGUUUGUUGUAAAUAAAUGCAAUGCAAAAUUCAUUACACAAACAUAUUCUAAAAAUAAAUUUGAUUUUUUAUCCACCUUUCACAAACAAGAAUUAUUGGUACAAGGGAUAAAAGAUGGCGACCGAUACUUGUCCUUCGAGCUGCGCUAUGUGAUCUUAAGCCACGCAUUGAGAAAUUAUACAUCUAGUCAUCACCUUGUUUAGGGUGUCACAAAACCGAACUCCAAAACAAACGACCAAGGAAAUCAUCAUGGAGACAAUUUGACGGACAUAAUGAUACUGUAGCUUAUAAGCAUAUAAGAGCACGAGAAUCCAAUUCGGUGCCCAGGUCUAGAUGAACCCAGUGAACAGUAACAUGACAAAAAAAUCAACUUUUUUUUUGCUUCAAAAAGAUGUUUGAGUGCAGGAUGUGCGUGCAAAAUUUCAUCCCGUUUGAACAUCUGUGGAGCUCGUGGCAAAAAAGAGAAAACCGGACAAAACAGCGCGUGAACAGUAACUUUCUCACAGAGCCGAAUUUUGUCUUUUUUGUCGCGCGCUCCUCGAAUGUCGAAACUUCACCAAAUUUUGCAUAAACAUCGCGCACACAAGCAUCUUGCUUGCAAAAAAAAAACUCAGAAUUUUUUGAUUUUUUCCUAUUUUUUAUGAAUUUUUUAUUUUGCCCGGGCACUGAAACGCCGCUCUGGAUAAGAGCAAAGCUACUGAGCAAAUCUUUGCAUAAACAGUGUAGGAGUCUCACACAAUUUGUUACAAGAAAACCAAACAGUACAAAAAUACACUGUUGGGCAAACAAAGCUACUCGGCAAAUAUCUUUCCCAUCUACCCUACACUUGAGCAAACUUUGAGAUGAGCUAGCAGAUAGGACAACUCCCUUGUGUAUUUGUGUGGAAUAGAAACAUGUGAAGAGAAGAAAGAAAACAAAAGGAGAUAUGGUGCCUCAACACUGACUUUCAAUUUAUGAACCUCAAUACUGAACACUACACAUGGUCGCAGCAGUGCAUUUUCUGUAAUGCUAUCACCACCAACAGUACAUUAAUAACCUAUUUGUUUGCUUCAGCAUAUCAACAUCUUUAAGGUCCUGAACCACAUUUUCAGUAGCAAGGAUCUGCCUUUUGAAAACAAAAACAAACCUAAUCAUGCGCAGGGGUCUAGAUUAAAGAUUCACUUCAGGCUCUUAAAACCAAACUGGUACUCUGAUCAGUUUAACCGAAGUAGUUGAAUGCAAAGUUCCUGAUAUGGACAAACAUAUACGAAUCAUAAGGAAGCAUCGGUGCACAGGUAUAAAACUACAACAGGCUAAAAACAGAAUCUUUACUGUGGCCCGUAAACUAUUUCUAAAGUCUCUGGUAUGCCAAUCUAACAUUUUGAUGACAACAUGCAGCUUUCAAAAGCGAGUAUAGAGUAAAAAAAGCAGAACUUCAGACUAAAAAGUGAAGCUAUUCCCUUGAAUCUGUUGAACAUUUAACAAUAUCAUUAUCCAAUUAAUACCACUGAAACAACUUGUUAUGACCGGCAUAGGGGCUUAGCCCAGUGGGUUAUGGCCCAAGUAUCUUAAUUAGGGGCUUAGCCCAAUUAUCUUAUCGUAUUAGGAUCGUUUGCUUAGGAGUCAAGUAAACCUCUCUAUAUAAGGAGAGGAGAUGUAUCAAUCUAAUCAAGCAAGAAGCAAUCAUAAUUUGCUCGGCUUCCCUUAGGGAGCCGGGAGACCUAAACCCUAGCCGCCUCCUGCCUUCGCCGCCGCUGCUUCCGUCGCAAGGACGGCGCCACGCCGCCGGCCGCCGCGCACCAGCCCUCGUCCUUCCCCCUCCUUCCCCUACAACCUACGCCCUAGAUCCGGUAGGGCCCUAGCUCCUACCAAUUUGGUAUCCAGAGACUCGGGUUCGAUCAUGCCGUCAUCAACACCCACGCCGCCGUUGCCCAUCAUCACCACCGCCCCGAUGACCACUGUCGGGGGUACUGAGGACCAGGGCAGAUGCAGCAGGAUCUCGUGACGGCCGUCCAGGGCAUCCAUCGGUACCUGGCCGGGCCCGCACCUCCACCGGCUGCGACUACCGCCGCCUACGGCCACCCCACGCUGUCGUGGCCGUCCCAGGGGGCGCCUGCAUUGGGCGGGCCACCGCUGCCGCCGUUCCAGGCGGGGCACCCCAGUGGGCCGCCUCUGCCGCUGCUGCAUCUGCCCUGGUCCUCAGUACCCGCGGCGAUCGCCGGGGCCCAUCCGUCGUUCCAGCCGCCGCAGUGGCCCGUGCCGGUUCUCACGGCGCCAUCCGCGCCCGCCCCAGCGCCACAGUGGCCGCACUGGCCCGUGCUAGCCCCAGCCGCGCCGGUCCAGCUCCCACCGCCGCCGCCCAGCUCCGGACUGGGCCAGUCCACACCAGGAGACCUCCCGAUCCAGCAGGUCCGGUUUCCGCCGUCACUGUCCCAGAUCCCGGCCUGGCUAACCGGGACGUCGCCACCGCCAGUUUACACGGAGGCCGGGAACCCACCGGUACCCAUGCUGCAGUCUGGGGCCUCGUCCGGCUCCGCGGGGGCCUAUGACGGUCUCCCCACCGUUGACCGGGCGCCGUCAUCAUCACUACUCUGCACCGCCGAGCCAGUCGGCCAUGGCGCGCCGACCCAGACGCCGCCACGGUUCGCCAAGAUCAACUUCGCCACUUAUGACGGCACGGAGGACCCGCUUAACUGGCUCAACCAGUGUGAGCAGUUUUUCCGUGAACAGCGCACGCGAGCGCACUUGGCUGGCAUCCUACCACCUCCGCGGUGCAGCCCAGACCCCAGGAUAUCCAGACGGCCAUGUACUACGCCCGCGCGUUCGAGCGCCGCGCGGUGGCCGUCCAGCAGGAGUCACCGUCCCGGGCCACUGGGUCGCUACCCUGGCCAGAUCCCGCUCCGUGUCGGCCUGUUCAGGCUUCCGCGGCACCCCUCGCCGCGACAGCGGCGCGCCCGUUCCGCCGGCUCACCUCGGCCGAGCUACUCAAGCGUCGCCGCCAAGGGUUGUGCUUCAAUUGCGACGAGUCCUACACGCCCAGCCACGCCUGCCCACGACUCUUCUACCUCGAGGUUGCAGACUACAUUCCGGAGGACGCCGUCGCCGCCGACCUUGCCGCCCCAGCUGUUGCGAAGGUGUUUGACGCUGGUUGAUCACCUCAAGUAUUUCAGCAAGCGCUUCCCCACCUUACAGCUCGAGGACGAGCUGUUUGUGCAGGCGGGGAGAAGUGUUAUGACCGGCAUAGGGGCUUAGCCCAGUGGGUUAUGGCCCAAGUAUCUUAAUUAGGGGCUUAGCCCAAUUAUCUUAUCGUAUUAGGAUCGUUUGCUUAGGAGUCAAGUAAACCUCUCUACAUAAGGAGAGGAGAUGUAUCAAUCUAAUCAAGCAAGAAGCAAUCAUAAUUUGCUCGGCUUCCCUUAAGGAGCCGGGAGACCUAAACCCUAGCCGCCUCCUGCCUUCGCCGCCGCUGCUUCCGUCGCAAGGACAGCGCCACGCCGCCGGCCGCCGCGCACCAGCCCUCAUCCUUCCCCCUCCUUCCCCUACAACCUACGCCCUAGAUCCGGUAGGGCCCUAGCUCCUACCACAACUAUACAAUGUUCAUCAUCACAAGAAACGACAGUAUUUUCUAUUGUCUGGCAUCAAGGAAGACAAUAAAUUACGAUGUAAGAAGCUUUUCCGAGCUGAACACUGAACGUGCAAGGUUGAAAUCAAAUAAGCAGAUGCAGAAGUAAUACAAAAGUGAAACUGAGUUCUAGGAAGUUUGUCGACAUACCAAAUAACACAUUCUUCGGCAAACGGAUCUUGUCAUAUAGCCAUUUACUGAUUUACAUCAGACCCCAUGAAAGCCAGGAAAAUAGUGAGCAUUAGAAAUAACCGUGACAUUUUGAGUGACAUCUGUGAGUAGGCAACACAAAGUGAAAACGUGAAUGAGUACAUAUACUAUUUGAAAGCCAUGAAAGGGCAUGCAACUAUCUAAGAAAUUAACUGACUACACCAAGCAAUAAAACUCUCUGGUGCACCACUUUAUUGAGGAAAAAAACAAAAAUGAGUCAGGCUGAACACGAAUAUAAAUAAGUUCAGUACAGUACGAUGUUCUUUAAGUUGAUGCCCUAUAUGAUGCUUAUGACUAGGGAGGUGACCACCCGAUCAUUGCAUUUCCCCACCUGAGAAGAAAAAUAAAGCCAUCCUUCCAAGUGCUUACACUUAAAUAAAAAUCGGAAUCAGCGUAUGACAAAAGAGCUUAUAAUGUAAACAAAAAAGAACCCUGGAUUCAUAGCAGCUUCAAAUGGGGAGGUGGAAUAGUAAGAAUACAAAAAGAAGAAAUCUUCCUCCACCACCUCUUUGAAAGUGCAUUUUGGAGCAAGAGCUACCAUUGAAAAAAUUGGGAGCAUUGUAGCAUAAAUGCCUACAUAUGCUAAUUUCAAUGUUAGUCGCUUCAGACACAUAGAUAGCCUAAAAGGAGCAGUUUCAGUUUAUCUAUAUCAAGAAACGAACAAAAGAUUCAUCUACAAAUAUCAAAAGAACCCCGGAUAAAUCUGCCCCCAUCAUCGCCAAAGAAAGAAGAAAGUACCAAACAAACUAAGAAAGGCAACAAAACAUCCUACGAAUCUAGCUAGAUAUGAGCAUCUAUUGGAUAGGAACAAACAAAAAUUCACAUGCAAAAACUUAACCGAGGUAGCCAACAAACCUAAAAGGACAACAAAGAAUCUCCUUUCUUGGAGCCCAGCUAGACGUAGACAUCUCUUAAAUCCAAUUUGCAGGAACCUAGCUAGACAUGAAUAUAUGAGCAAGUCAUAAACCAAUUAAAGAGUGUAGACACCAAUUUUACAGUACAGUUCAGCAAAUAAAGAUGGCUCAUUACUGUAUGGACAAGCUCCAUCAAUCAGAAAAUCGAGGUAGAAGAUCUAUGAACUAAAAUCUUCAGAACUCUUUGCUGGCCAAAUUAUACCUUAAAAUCAACAAUAAUAGAUGGUUGCACACCUGGAAUUUGAGAUGUGUUUCCGCUGGAGCACUUCCUGCGAAAAUAAAGAACGCCAUACCAUGAUAAAACAAUGUAAAUCCAGAUCUUCCCCCUUUAGCUGAACACCAAAACAAAACACUGGGUUUUUUGUUCCACGCCCAAGCAGUCCCAAAUCCUUCAUGGUUUGCUGAGAGAGAGAGAGAGAGAUGAACCUGGACGUCUAGCCGCCCAUGAAUGAUAGGCACGCUACCGCAGCCGUCAGGCAUCUGGGCAGCUAGAGGCGAAGAGGAGGAUGGUGGCAGUAAGGGGCCGCAGAGGAGACCGGCGUCACGUCCGGAGGCAGCGACACAUUGAGGAGGCAUCAUUGAGCAUGGAUGCGGCCGAGGUGGACCUCGACGGCGGCAGGCAGGAAGAGGAUGGGGCUCAAGCGAGGGAUGUGGCGGCUAGGGUUUUCACCACAUAGGGAAAAAGGUUAACCUGUUUGUCAAUGUGUGAAUAUAUAGGCUGGCUAGAAAAAGACGGAGAUGCCCCUUCAGCGGGACAAAAUCACUCAUGGUGCCAUCGCUUCGAUGCUAGCCGUCAAGCGAAAAGAUCCUACGGCCACCAUUGCAAACGAAUCAAGAAUUGAGAUUAGAUGUAUGGUCCUUGGAAGAUAUAAACAUCCUGGAUGGAGAUAUUCUGAAUGUGCUGUGUAUUGCUUUUGGAAGGAUGGGCUAUGCCUGAGUGUCCAAGGUACAUGAUAUAAGAUGAUGAUAUUUACUAACAAUACUGCAGUACUUUGCAAACAAAAUGGUAUAAGGAUAGAAACUAUAUCCAUGAUAAUACAAGCACGAGAAUAAGGAUCUCACAAGAAUGUCAUCAAACAGUAAUCUCAUGGGACAAGUUGCAGCCAAACACAACAGUUUCUCACUCCAACAAAAGCAAAUAAACAAGGGAUUGACUUGAGCCAGAUAAACAUCUUGUUAAUAAAAAUAGGCAAAAUAAAAAGAUAACCAAACUUCAUGAUUCCUGAUACUUGAUCUGGUGCUUCCAUAUUGCCCCUCCCUGCCAAACAAACCAAUUUAAAACUUAGUUGAACUGGAUGUAUUGUUGAUCAUCUUAAUAAAUAAGAUAAGAUAGGUGAAACAUGAACAAUUUGGGAGCAGCAAGUAGUAAAAUCACCUAACUAACAGGACAUGGCUUCAGAAGUUGGCUUGGCUGGGAAGUCCAAGCAAGCUUGCCCUCAGCAUUGCCGGAGAGAGCAAGAAGACAGCCAAUGCUGGCAUCCGUCAGAGAGAGAGGUGUGCAGUUGAAAGUCUUGCUGCUCAUAUCAACACGGACCCAAAAGCUUGGCGUGGAUGGAAAGCAGAACUCCGGGUCCUGGUAGAUGUACUCACCCAGUGCAAAGUAUAUGACACGGUCUUCCUGUAUGUUGAGGAAGGGGUACAUGGGUGCCAUGGAGGUCGGCAGGUGGUUCCCUUUGAAAGCCCCCUCUUCACGCAGGCUCCCCAGCUUGAGCUCGUAGUCUACAUCCCAACUCAUAUCUUCCUUGAGUCUCCAGACCCUCACCAUGCGGUCAUCCACAAGAUCCACACGCUCAAGGAAGCCGGUGAUGGAGACAAACUUGAUGGAGUCCCCAACACAGCCCACAGCUCGAAAGGCCCUCGGCUCUGGUAUGUAAUCUCUACAGCCUAAGUAUCUCUCGCACCCCACAGGGAGGUCUAAGGAGUGGGCGUCCAUGUAACGCUGGCUGGAGAACACAUCACCGCAGUCACAGUACAUGCCACCAAGCAAGAGAUCCACCCAGUAACCACGGCCACGGUGGGAGAACACAUCUUCGGCAAGGAAAGAGCUUUUCUCAGCGAGCAGAUGGUCGGGGAAAUUAGUGAACUUCGCAAUCUCCCACUGAGACUUAGAUGAGGAUCCCGACACGAAGAGAACAGGCUGCCGUCCAGGACAGCCUAUGUCGUAGACGGUCCCGGGAAAGACCAGGGCGUAGGAGCUGAUGUCGUCGUCCCGGCGGCGCGCCACAAGAACACGGGACGUAAGGACGGAAGGGGGUGUGCUGGGCGCAGACGGGAUCAUGAGGAGCGAUCUGUCAAUUGCGUUGUAGAUGAGAUAGAUACCCCGGGGGUAAACUUGAGGAAAGGAAGUUAUCAUGAUAAUCAGGUUCUUGUCGACGGCAUGGAUACAAGUGGAGAACGGGCGGACGCCUCGGAGGGUCAGGCGGGACAGAUCUGGCGCACCAGCAAGGUCUGCUUCUAGCGCCAGGCCCCGCAUGAGCGCAUCGCAAUCGAGGUCCGCAGGGAACCCGAACGCCCUCUUGGCUCCAGAGGACAGCAAAGUCUUCUUGUUGUCGGCUGUUUCGCCGCCGGGGAGAUACGUGCCCACGAAGGGAUCCAGGAGGAAAAGGGAAGGCGAGN
rnacentral:lncRNA from 1 species